rnacentral:rRNA from 1 species
GACGAACGCUGGCGGCGUGCUUAACACAUGCAAGUCGAGCGGAAAGGCCCUUCGGGGUACUCGAGUGGCGAACGGGUGAGUAACACGUGAGUAAUCUGCCUCUGACUCUGGGAUAACCACGGGAAACGGUGGCUAAUACCGGAUAUGACACAUGGCUGCAUGGUCUGUGGGGGGAAAGUUUUUCGGGCAGAGAUGAGCUCGCGGCCUAUCAGCUUGUUGGUGGGGUAAUGGCCUACCAAGGCGACGACGGGUAGCCGGCCUGAGAGGGCGACCGGCCACACUGGGACUGAGACACGGCCCAGACUCCUACGGGAGGCAGCAGUGGGGAAUAUUGCGCAAUGGGCGAAAGCCUGACGCAGCGACGCCGCGUGAGGGAUGAAGGCCUUCGGGUCGUAAACCUCUUUCAGCAGGGAAGAAGCGCAAGUGACGGUACCUGCAGAAGAAGCACCGGCUAACUACGUGCCAGCAGCCGCGGUAAAAC